rnacentral:rRNA from 1 species
UAAGACGUAGGGAGCAAGCGUUGUCCGGAUUUACUGGGCGUAAAGGGCGCGUAGGCGGUCUGUUAAGUGUGAAGUGAAAUCUCCAGGGCUCAACCCGGAAACCGCUUCGCAUACUGGCAGACUGGAGGAAGGCAGAGGUAACUGGAAUUCCUGGUGUAGCGGUGAAAUGCGUUGAUAUCAGGAGGAACUCCAAUGGCGAAGGCAGGUUACUGGGCCUUAUCUGACGCUGAGGCGCGAAAGCGUGGGUAGCAAACAGGAUUAGAUACCCUGGUAGUCCACGCCCUAAACGAUGGAUGCUAGACGUAAGAGGUAUCGACCCCUCUUGUGUCGCAGCUAACGCAUUAAGCAUCCCGCCUGGGGAGUACGGCCGCAAGGUUG